rnacentral:rRNA from 1 species
UAAAGGUACCCGUACCGCAAACCGACACAGGUGGGUGAGGAGAGUAUCCUAAGGCCAGCGAGAGAACUGUUGUUAAGGAACUCGGCAAAAUGACCCCGUAACUUAGGGAUAAGGGGUGCCACCAUCAGGUGGCCGCAGAGAAUAGGCCCAAGCGACUGUUUACCAAAAACAUAGGUUUCUGCUAAGUCGCAAGACGAUGUAUAGGAGCUGACGCCUGCCCGGUGCUGGAAGGUUAAGGGGAUCUGUUAGAGCAAUCGAAGCAGUGAACUUAAGCCCCAGUAAACGGCGGCCGUAACUAUAACGGUCCUAAGGUAGCGAAAUUCCUUGUCGGGUAAGUUCCGACCCGCACGAAAGGCGUAACGAUUUGGGCACUGUCUCAACAACAGACUCGGUGAAAUUGUAAUUCCGGUGAAGAUGCCGGAUACCUGCGACAGGACGGAAAGACCCCAUGGAGCUUUACUGUAGCUUGACAUUGGGUCUUGGUACUACAUGUACAGGAUAGGUGGGAGGCUUUGAAACCAGGACGCCAGUUUUGGCGGAGCCAUCCUUGGGAUACCACCCUUGUAGUACUGGGACUCUAACCAUAGGCCAUGAAUCUGGUCUUGGGACACUGUCAGGUGGGCAGUUUGACUGGGGCGGUCGCCUCCCAAAAGGUAACGGAGGCGCUCAAAGGUUCUCUCAGUACGGUCGGAAAUCGUACGUAGAGUGUAAAGGCAAAAGAGAGCUUGAUUGCAAGACAUACAGGUCGAGCAAGGAUGAAAAUCGGACUUAGUGAUCCGGUGGUUCUGCGUGGAAGGGCCAUCGCUCAACGGAUAAAAGCUACCCUGGGGAUAACAGGCUUAUCUCCCCCAAGAGUCCACAUCGACGGGGAGGUUUGGCACCUCGAUGUCGGCUCAUCACAUCCUGGGGCUGUAGUAGGUCCCAAGGGUUGGGCUGUUCGCCCAUUAAAGUGGUACGCGAGCUGGGUUCAGAACGUCGUGAGACAGUUCGGUCCCUAUCCGUCGCAGGCGUAGGAAAU